UACAGAGGGGGCAAGCGUUGUUCGGAAUUACUGGGCGUAAAGGGCGCGUAGGCGGCCUGCUAAGUCGAACGUGAAAUCCCCGGGCUCAACCCGGGAACUGCGUCCGAUACUGGCAGGCUUGAAUCCGGGAGAGGGAUGUGGAAUUCCAGGUGUAGGCGGUGAAAUGACGUAGAUAUCUGGAGGAACACCGGUGGCGAAGGCGGCAUCCUGGACCGGUAUUGACGCUGAUGCGCGAAAGCCAGGG
rnacentral:rRNA from 1 species